rnacentral:rRNA from 1 species
AUUGAACGCUGGCGGCAGGCCUAACACAUGCAAGUCGAGCGGAUGAAGGGAGCUUGCUCCUGGAUUCAGCGGCGGACGGGUGAGUAAUUCCUAGGAAUCUGCCUGGUAGUGGGGGAUAACGUCCGGAAACGGGCGCUAAUACCGCAUACGUCCUGAGGGAGAAAGUGGGGGAUCUUCGGACCUCACGCUAUCAGAUGAGCCUAGGUCGGAUUAGCUAGUUGGUGGGGUAAAGGCCUACCAAGGCGACGAUCCGUAACUGGUCUGAGAGGAUGAUCAGUCACACUGGAACUGAGACACGGUCCAGACUCCUACGGGAGGCAGCAGUGGGGAAUAUUGGACAAUGGGCGAAAGCAUGAUCCAGCCAUGCCGCGUGUGUGAAGAAGGUCUUCGGAUUGUAAAGCACUUUAAGUUGGGAGGAAGGGCAGUAAGUUAAUACCUUGCUGUUUUGACGUUACCAACAGAAUAAGCACCGGCUAACUUCGUG